UACGUAUGGGGCGAGCGCUAUCCGGAAUUAUUGGGCGUAAAGAGUACGUAGGUGGUUUUUUAAGCGGGGGGUUUAAGGCUACGGCUUAACCGUAGUUCGCCUCCCGAACUGGGAGACUUGAGUGCAGGAGAGGAAAGCGGAAUUCCUAGUGUAGCGGUGAAAUGCGUAGAUAUUAGGAGGAACACCGGUGGCGAAGGCGGCUUUCUGGACUGUAACUGACACUGAGGUACGAAAGCGUGGGGAGCAAACA
rnacentral:rRNA from 1 species